GAUGGUAGGCCCAUCGAAAUCGCCAUGCAGGUGGAGAUUUCAAACUACCUUAAAGUGCUGUGGUCAAAAACCGUGGUAUUGAGCGUUAAGGAAAAGGCAGUAUCUAAACUGUCAAGU
rnacentral:ncRNA from 1 species